GACACUGUGGCCGAGUGGUUAAGGCGAUGGCCUGCUAUUAACAGUAGACAAGCCAUUGGGUUCGCCCGCGUGAGUUCGAAUCUCAUCGGUGUCG